CUUCCGCCGGCGACCGGCGCACGGGUGAGUAACACGUAUGCAACCUGCCCCUGUCAGGGGGACAACCCGCCGAAAGGCGGGCUAAACCCGCGUACAUGCCACCGGGGCAUCCCGGAGGCAGGAAAGGCUUCGGCCGGACAGGGAUGGGCAUGCGGCGCAUUAGGCAGUAGGCGGGGUAACGGCCCACCUAACCGACGAUGCGUAGGGGUUCUGAGAGGAAGGUCCCCCACACUGGUACUGAGACACGGACCAGACUCCUACGGGAGGCAGCAG
rnacentral:rRNA from 1 species